rnacentral:tRNA from 1 species
GGAUGUGGCUUGGUGGUAGAGCACUUGCCUAGCAUGUGUGAGGCACUGGGUUCAAUUCUCAGCACCA